CGAGGACGGGAGGCGGAGGCGCUGCGGGGCGGGUUCCCAGGUGAUCGGCGGCGGCUACACCCACUCGCCGCCCCCGGAGGGCACAGAAAUCACUCCAGCUCAAAAGACAUGGCUGUCCUACUCAACUCUGAGUGUCAUGCUGCUUCUGCUGGAAUGAAUGGUUCAUCCAAACUGCAGGUGCUGUUAGACUCUGAGCCUAGGUGCAGGCAGUGGCUGCAUUCUGUGGUGGAAUAAGCUGUGAAAAUUUCUGAAUAAUAAUGCUUUCUGGGAGCAAGAUGGGGGAAGGAAGACACCUCAUAUCAUAGACUCUUUUUAUUGUAAUGCUGAAGGCUAUGUCCGUAGUUGAUAUGUGGCAUAUAAAAAGACAAAGUAUAGCAAUUGGAAACUAAAUUUAAUACACAGGAGAAAUAUUGAGCUUCAAGGUGCUUCCAGGGAGAGAAGCAGAGAACUGGAUCCCUCUCUGCAUUAUACACUUGAGGAGGAGAUCUUUCUAAAGCUGUGAAUGGAAACAAUGCAUCCAUUUAGGAAUACUGAUCCUCUACACACUGACCUCUGAGGAAAAGAAGAAGCAUUGUAAAAAAACCAACAUCUAUAUGUGGACUUACACUCCUAGGUGGGGAUAGAUUUCAAAAUAUUUUCAGGAGUUUCUCCAACAGAUGAAAUGUCUCAAUGAGCAUGCCAUUUAUCUGUCAUGCCUGGUAGCAUGUAGGACAGAAAACAUUAUUUCUUUUCCCACCACCCAAGAACAUUCUGUAUUUUCAUACCAAUACAAAUAGCAGGUAAACUCUCUUCUUAUUUUCUGUGACUAAAACAAUUGGAUGUAGUUGACGUGCAGGGCUGGGAUGAAGACUGAACACCUGUAACCAUGCUGUUAGCACUGAGGAAGCUGGACCCUGAAGCAGAAGAAUCAACAUAUAAACUAAAGAAGCUUUAUUUGAUAAUUUUAUUUAGAAACAGAAAGAGCUGGUUAUAGAUUAGAUUAUCCAACUUUAUGUUAAUGCAUUACAUCAGAUAAAAAACAAGUUUUCUAUGUUAACUCUAAUUAAAUUCACACUAGGAAGAGUGUCCUGUAAAUUGAAUUGAAAUGCAGACAGGAAAAUGAACAAUAGUAGUUUUUGGCAAGCUCUACUUUGAUCCUUAUUUUAGGGAUUAUUCAAUGAUUUACCCAACACAGGUGUAUAUGUACAUCACCUAUGGGAUUCCUCUAUGAACUUUUCACUGAAUGAACACUGUCAAAUGUUAUAUUCUGGCCUUUAAUCAAUCCUUCUGUGUAGUUCCUGUGGCUGGAACCACAGGAGGGAUGGCCAGCUCCUCAGCAUCUUGCUCUAAUCAUCACUUCUCAAGAGAAAGCAGCUCCCUGCAAAUCAGAAAUAUUCACUCCUCAGGUGCUUUCCCACAAAAUCCUUCAGACGGGAGGCUUAAAAUAAGCCCUUAAAGGGACCAGAUUGUGCUCCUGGGGUGUAGUUGUUUGUGUUCUCUUCUUCUUCUGAGAAAAGGAUCAGCAAAACAUCUGCUAUAGGAUAUGAAGUAGUUGGAAAAAAGAGGCUUUUAAAGGCCUAAAUUAGAAUAAGGGAAAUGAAUCCAAGAAAACUGAUAAGCAGUAUUAAUAAUUUGUAAACUACCAAAGAUACUUCCAUCAUAUCUACCACUAUUACAUACAAAAAAUAUGAUAAAUUGUAGCUUGUAAAGACAGUAAAAAUUCUAGCAAUUACAGUUGUUUGAGAAACUUUACAUCUUCCUUUGUAUGUAAUUCUUGAGAGACCAGAAUAAACAUAGAGAUCAUGACCAUGUAAUUGAAGGCAGGGUUGUAAUAGAUAUAUACAAAUGCAGCAACACAUUACUGGUAUCUUUUUCUGCACUAUAGAGUUUUUUCCACUAGACUCAGUAAUGUGUAGCAUUUUACACUAAGCAGUCCUAUCUUCAUAUUUUUCAGUACUAUGACUUAUAAGGUGUAGAAGAGCCCUCAAGAUGUCACCUGUAAGACACCUUGGCUAUGGAGAGAAUUUGAAACUGUUCUGUUGUUUCGUAUAUUUUUCAUCUUCUGAGAUAAAAUUUUAAAGGUCCUGAUAGGGAAGCCAAGAAAGAAAUUUCCAUGAACUACACCUACAGUAUCAUAUAAGUUUGAAUAAUUUCUGAGAAAAAUGUAAUAAAAGAAGAUUACUUAGGACGUAAAAGAAGCUGUUGAAAUGUGGGUCUCAGAGAUUAUGAAAGCCACACGCUAGCUCUGCAGCAAGUUCUGGCUUCCACAGUUACCUACUGCUACUAAGGUUUGGUUGCUCAGCCUUAGAAAUUCUAGGACAAAUACAUGAGAAAGGGAUUGAGAAUUUUUUUAAAUUUUGUGACAGUAGUCACUGACGCCUGGACUGUUUCCAGUAUCAACUGCCUUGAGGUAACAGCACAAUCAACAGUUACGAAGUCCAAAAAUUAGAAAUUUGUUUGGCAUAGAAAUCAGUAAUUUUGAGGAAAGGAGCCAACUGAAGAGUACUUCAUGCAUCUGGCAUCUGGUCAGUAGCUGCUCUGUACAGUGUGGAAGGACAUUGUAGGAAAAGAUUUGAAACAAACUGGAAACAAGAAGCUUAAAACAAGCCUUCUGGGGACUGAGAAAGAUUCUGUGUUGAUAACAAUAAGGAAAAGAUAAAAUAUGAAGCUUCUGGGAAAAGGGUGAACCACAAAAUAGGCAUGACUUUUAAUAUGACUGAACAGAACCCUAAGCAUCACUUUCCAAAACCUUAGUCUCCAGAAAAGCUAAAAGCACGUCUCUUAAAAAUGAAAACAACUGAGCUUAUUAAUGUAUAAUUAAUUACAUGACAAGUAAAAUAAAUGUUAUUUAUAAUUUUCUAGAAAUACUAAUAUUGAUCCAUCAGUUCUUAGGCCAUUUUCAGUGUGAGUGAGAAAAUUGGAACUGCAAUCUAAAAUAAUAAAGCUACUCUGAAUAAUUAUUUACUACAGGGUUUUGUCUAGUGCUAGAUGAAAGAAGGCUGUGAAUAAACUAAUAUUCUUUAAGCCUUAAUGGGAUUAAGGCAGCAACAUGAUGCAAUUUGAUUAUUUCCAAUAAGAAGCUGAAAGCAUUUGGCUUUCACUGUCAUAAUAGAAUCACUCUUUUCUAAGCACUUUUAAUUUUGAUGGGAUAUCCAAUAUAACAUUAUGUGGAUCAGCUUAAAGACAGUUAUGUUUGAUUAUUUUCCUUUCUUUGUUUAUUAUGUUCCUACUGAUAUUUUAAAUAAAAGGGUCUCUGCAAUUCAAAGGCAAACAGAUUCAAAAGCUGUAAUUAACAAGCUCUAGAUAUGAGCAACUCUAAAUAUAUACAAAUACAAGAGAAGUCUUGAGCCAAAUCUGAGCAUGAUGAAUAAAUUAUUCUAAGAACCAUUACUUAAGUAUCAUCAGCAAAGCCAGGAGCAAAUUGUAAAUUGGAAACAUGACUUUAUGUUUUCCCAGCUGCAGGCAACAAAAAUUUUCACAGCCUGACCUGCUUGUAAUUGUGCAUCCUUAAAUCUCUGUUAGAGAACCUUUGACCACAGGCAAGUGACCAGGCCCACAAUUCCCUUUUGUAAGUCCUGUGGCCACAUUGGGUUUGGGUUGCUUCUGCCACCACACUCUAGGAGGUGAUGCACUUGCCAAAUGAGUCUACAAGGCUCCUUUGGCUUUAGCAGGAGCAAGUUCUCUACCUUCUCAUUCCAGCUCUUUGUUCAGCUCAGCCUCUGAUUUUAGUAUUAGCCUCUUAACCCUAUGAUCACCAAUUUUCUCAAGCUUAUCAUGAAAAUGUCUGCUUCACUCAUCAUCGUCUGAGCAUUGGCACAUCAACAUUGCCCUGCAUGUUUGCACUGGAUAGGUGCUAAUGCUCAUCUCAGAAAUUCACCUAUCUGCCAAAACCAGAAGGUGUUAUUUCUAUUUUGUCAGAUCACAAGUCAGUGGCUUCACAUACACAAGAAACAAACAAACAAAAAAAAUGAAAACAGAAUGACGAUGUGGGAGACAGUCUUGUUCAGUCAUUCCCCAAAUCCACAGCUUCUGUAUGGGUUGAAGGAACUCAAAGGUCUCUCUGAAGUGCAAAACAUUUUCUAGUGGCAAAGAAAAAAGGAAUUUUGCCUUAGGACAUUGCAGUGUAAAGGGCCAGGUCAAAAGAUUCAGAGAGCAGAGCUUUUUGCUACUUUCAAGUUGUCGGGUUUAGUUUGUGCUAAAAGGCACCGUGGUCCCUGGUGAAAGGUAAGAAGCUGCUUAGACCUCACAGAGAAAAGAAACUACCAUUCACUGUGGUUCAUGAGACUUUCCCUGCUGUCAGAAUCCUUCAUAGUCCAGGACCUUGUUUACCUGCCCUAGCUCCCAGGGCUUUGUGCUGGGGACUCCAUUGCCCUCCUGAGGGGGAAAGUCAGACUUCUCCUUUCAUGUGCCAGAAAUCUACCUGAGUGUUGAGGGAAUUCUUCCUUCACCUUUCCAAUUACACCCUGUUUUACCAGACUUCAUAAAUAAGAGAAGCAUUUAUUUCUAAAGCCUCCUUCUUUAAAACAAAUGCCCCCUUUCUUUGGGAGGCAAGGUGGUUAUUAUUGUUACAUUAAAAUUAAUACUUGAGUGGAUGUAUAAUGAGCAGAAAUUGUUAAUCUUUUAAGGCAAAUUUGCAUUCACUGACAUCAUGUUGACACUGAGGUCUCUCUAUUGCAGCAAAGCACUUUUGUUUUGGUGUUGAUAUUUCAAUUUGACAUUCUUAGGCUCUAAAACCUCUCUAAAAGGGCAGCUGACACCACCCUCCCUCCUUUCCUUUUUAUACAGCCCUGCCACUGCACAGUGUGAAUUUGGCUGCAAAUAUAUCAGAGAAGUAAGGCAUCUAGUAAUGCCUUAAGUGUUACUCUUGUGUUCUGCUCAUCCCUUGAAUUUAGACAGGGGUUGUUCUCUUACUAUUUUUGUCAGAGUUAAACACUCAGGUACAUCAGUGCAGAAGUGAAAAUUUCUACCAUUUAUUGACAUUUAUACCACAGAGAUAUCAAACUACUUGAUAGACAAGACCUUUCUAUGUUUGUUAAUCAGAUAAAACGAUGGAAAUCCAACCACAACUGAAGAGUCAUGUUUUUAUUUCAAUACCAGGUAUGGAUACAACCAAAUAGUGAAAUAUAGAUCUGAAACUACAUCAAUUGUUUCUGAAGGUGACAAAAUCUUCCAUGUAAUUUCUCCUCCCACUAUAUUUUUCUGGACUCCUCUAAGAGGCUUUUUGUCUCCACACAGAGACACUAAUGAAUCAUUUUCCCUCCCAACUAGCCCCAUAUCGACUAAAAAAAAAGGAAAAUAUUUUAAAAUUGAAUAACUGGAGUGUUAGCCAUUAUGUUGUCAGCAACUGAAUAUCAUGAAGCAAUUUGCUCACCACCCCCUACCCAUGCUGGGAUGGGAAGGAGAAUCAGAAAAGAGUUAAUACUUGUGGGCUGAGAUAAAAACAGCUUAAUAAUUGAAAUAAAAUAGAAUGUUAUAAUAAUACAACAGUAAUAAUAAUAAUGGAAAGGGAGAUAACAAUUAAAGAGAGAAAUAAAAUCCAAGGAAGAUAAGUGAUACACAAUACAAUUGCUCACCAGUUGCUGACCAAUGCCCAGCUUAUCCCUGAGCAGCUAUCUGCCCCCCUGAGCCAAUUCUCCCAAUUUAUGUAUUUAGAAUGAUGUUCUGUGGUACAGAACUUCCCUAAGCUAGAUGUCCUGGCUAUAGUCCCUCCCAGCUUCUUGUGUACCUGCUUAACAGCAGAGCAUGAGACACUCAAAGGCCUUGACUAAGAGCAAGCAAUAAAUAUGAGUGUGUUAUCUACAUUAUCCUCACACUGAAUGAACAAAGCACAACACAGUAGUACCAGUUACUUCGAAAGAAAUUGUCUCUAUCCCAGCUAAAAUCAGGAGCAGUUUGUAUAAAAACUAGAAGCAAACAAAGAAACACAACUUCUCAAAAUGUCACCAGCAAUGUAAGCUUUGUAAAGGGCUUUGAAUCAGGUCACAGUUGCAUGUAGACAGCAGUGCUGAACAGAGUGUCAGUUCCCUGUCCAAGGGAGCCUCCCUCUUAAGAGCAUCUGAUGACUUCCAUGAAAGAGCAAUUCCAUUGAGGUAAGAGGAAUAUAUGAUUGUCAAGCUUAGCUCAGCUUAUUAAAAUGUCAGACAACAGGGGAACACCCACUUUCCCUCUAUGACUUCUUCCUUCAAGCAUCUCAAAUCAAAAGCAUUCUUUUAGUGCUGGCUAAUAUCAAGAAAACAUAUAGGAUACGCCUAUAAACUGUGCAAAACUGAGCUCCAUUUCUAACUGUGAAAAAAGAAAGAAAUCCAAAGAAUAGUAGUCAGAGAAAAUCAUGGUACAGCACCACUGAUGAAAGUUAUAACCAAUGAUGAAAUAGUAUUUCUUAGAAUCACAGCUGAAUGAAUACUUCAGUCUUUGAGUACCAUGCUGUUUGUCAAAAAUAAUGCAGAUUUCUGCUUUUCAUAGUAGGAAGCAGCCAAAGAAAAAAAAAUCAGUCUAGAAGGAGAUAAAAUAUCUGUUACAUUAACUACUUAGCUGUGAGAAUACAUUUUCACAUGUUUUAAAGAACCAGACAGGGUAUAUGUGCACAUUUUAAUAUGCCAUAUUCUCUACAAACUAGAAUGCAGUUUAAUUUUAAGAAUUAAGAAAUGAAGAUGAGCUCUUCUAUGGACAAGUGAGCAUACUAUAUGUAACAUUGAUUUUAAAAACUUAUUUAAAUGAAUAA